GAUGAACGCUGGCGGCGUGCUUAACACAUGCAAGUCGAGCGAAGCACUUAUGAUUGACUUUUCGGAGGAUUUCAUUAGUGACUGAGCGGCGGACGGGUGAGUAACGCGUGGGUAACCUGCCUCAUACAGGGGGAUCACAGUUAGAAAUGACUGCUCAUACCGCAUAAGCGCACAGUACCGCAUGGUACAGUGUGAAAAACUCCGGUGGUAUGAGAUGGACCCGCGUUUGAUUAGCUAGUUGGUGAGGUAACGGCCCACCAAGGCGACGAUCAAUAGCCGACCUGAGAGGGUGACCGGCCACAUUGGGACUGAGACACGGCCCAAACUCCUACGGGAGGCAGCAGUGGGGAAUAUUGCACAAUGGGGAAACCCUGAUGCAGCAACGCCGCGUGAGUGAAGAAGUAUUUCGGUAUGUAAAGCUCUAUCAGCAGGGAAGAAAAUGACGGUACCUGACUAAGAAGCCCCGGCUAACUACGUGCCAGCAGCCGCGGUAA
rnacentral:rRNA from 1 species